AACGCACAUUGCACUCUUUUAGAGUAUGCCUGUUUGAGAAUCUAUAGUAUUUAUUUUUGUCUAUAUUUUUUAGGAAGUAUAGGUAAAAGAUAUGGGGUUUCCCUCGCAAGGGGGUACUCUGAAAUAGAUUGCCUCUGUUUUGAUAGACUCGACGAAGUUUUUCAAUCCUGCAGAAAAGUAUUUGAAUGGAACUGUGGUUUCUCAAUAUGCUGAAUAUGUGGGGGAAAGAUGGAGAAUCUAUUUGGCAGAUGUCCAUACCCUAUAAGUCGGUCUUAGGAUCGGCUUGAACCAUGGUCUCAAAUCAGGUAGGAAGACCCGCUGAACUUAA
rnacentral:misc_RNA from 1 species